rnacentral:ncRNA from 2 species
CGAUGUCGCGCGGGAGAGUCCCCUUGAGCGGGGACGCCGAAGGAGCAACUCCUCCCCGGAAUCUCUCAGGUACAGGUACCGCACGACGAAG